rnacentral:rRNA from 1 species
GUCGAGCGGUAACAUUUCUAGCUUGCUAGAAGAUGACGAGCGGCGGACGCGGUGAGUAAUACUUAGGAAUCUACCUAGUAGUGGGGGAUAGCUCGGGGAAACUCGAAUUAAUACCGCAUACGACCUACGGGAGAAAGGGGGCAACUUGUUGCUCUCGCUAUUAGAUGAGCCUAAGUCGGAUUAGCUAGAUGGUGGGGUAAAGGCCUACCAUGGCGACGAUCUGUAGCUGGUCUGAGAGGAUGAUCAGCCACACCGGGACUGAGACACGGCCCGGACUCCUACGGGAGGCAGCAGUGGGGAAUAUUGGACAAUGGGGGAAACCCUGAUCCAGCCAUGCCGCGUGUGUGAAGAAGGCCUUUUGGUUGUAAAGCACUUUAAGCAGUGAAGAAGACUCUUCGGUUAAUACCCGGAGACGAUGACAUUAGCUGCAGAAUAAGCACCGGCUAACUCUGUGCCAGCAGCCGCGGUAAUACAGAGGGUGCAAGCGUUAAUCGGAAUUACUGGGCGUAAAGCGAGCGUAGGUGGCUUGAUAAGUCAGAUGUGAAAUCCCCGGGCUUAACCUGGGAACUGCAUCUGAUACUGUCAGGCUAGAGUAGGUGAGAGGAAGGUAGAAAUUCCAGGUGUAGCGGUGAAAAUGCGUAAAGAUCUGGAGGGAAUACCGAUGGCGAAGGCAGCCUUCUGG